rnacentral:rRNA from 1 species
UGUUGAUCCUGGCUCAGAUUGAACGCUGGCGGCAUGCCUUACACAUGCAAGUCGAACGGCAGCACGGGGGCAAUCCCUGGUGGCGAGUGGCGAACGGGUGAGUAAUACAUCGGAACGUGUCCUGUAGUGGGGGAUAGCCCGGCGAAAGCCGGAUUAAUACCGCAUACGCUCUACGGAGGAAAGGGGGGGAUCUUAGGACCUCCCGCUACAGGGGCGGCCGAUGGCAGAUUAGCUAGUUGGUGGGGUAAAGGCCUACCAAGGCGACGAUCUGUAGCUGGUCUGAGAGGACGACCAGCCACACUGGGACUGAGACACGGCCCAGACUCCUACGGGAGGCAGCAGUGGGGAAUUUUGGACAAUGGGGGCAACCCUGAUCCAGCAAUGCCGCGUGUGUGAAGAAGGCCUUCGGGUUGUAAAGCACUUUUGUCCGGAAAGAAAACCUCGUGGUUAAUACCCGUGGGGGAUGACGGUACCGGAAGAAUAAGCACCGGCUAUCUANCG